GCUUACGGCCAUACCACACUGAGCAAGCCCGAUCUCGUCUGAUCACGGAAGCGAAGCAGUGUCGGGCCUGGUUAGUACUUGGAUGAGAGACCGCCUGGGAAUACCAGGUGCUGUAAUAU
ensembl:rRNA 5S_rRNA 5S ribosomal RNA